rnacentral:rRNA from 1 species
UUUUAUGAGAGUUUGAUCCUGGCUCAGGACGAACGCUGGCGGCGUGCCUAAUACAUGCAAGUCGAACGCUUCUUUUUCCACCGGAGCUUGCUCCACCGGAAAAAGAGGAGUGGCGAACGGGUGAGUAACACGUGGGUAACCUGCCCAUCAGAAGGGGAUAACACUUGGAAACAGGUGCUAAUACCGUAUAACAAUCAAAACCGCAUGGUUUUGAUUUGAAAGGCGCUUUCGGGUGUCGCUGAUGGAUGGACCCGCGGUGCAUUAGCUAGUUGGUGAGGUAACGGCUCACCAAGGCCACGAUGCAUAGCCGACCUGAGAGGGUGAUCGGCCACAUUGGGACUGAGACACGGCCCAAACUCCUACGGGAGGCAGCAGUAGGGAAUCUUCGGCAAUGGACGAAAGUCUGACCGAGCAACGCCGCGUGAGUGAAGAAGGUUUUCGGAUCGUAAAGCUCUGUUGUUAGAGAAGAAC